rnacentral:ncRNA from 2 species
CAAACCAUUGAACUCCGAGCUGCUUUGCCUACGUCACGAAAUGGAUAAGGGAAAGUAUGCCGAACAGCCGAACCUGUCGUACGGCUGUGAGGGUCAGCAAAGAAAUGCGCUGGCCUCCCGUAUUUGGAAAGGUGUUUAUGACAUUGCUGG